rnacentral:rRNA from 1 species
CCUACGGGAGGCAGCAGUGGGGAAUAUUGGGCAAUGGGCGCAAGCCUGACCCAGCAACGCCGCGUGAAGGAAGAAGGCUUUCGGGUUGUAAACUUCUUUUCUGAGGGACGAAGACAGUGACGGUACCUCAGGAAUAAGCCACGGCUAACUACGUGCCAGCAGCCGCUGUAAUACGGAGGUGGCAAGCGUUAUCCGGAUUGAUUGGGUGUAAAGGGCGGGUAGGCGGGAAAGCAAGGCAGAUGUGAAAACUCAGGGCUCAACCCUGAGCCUGCAUUUGAAACUGUUUUUCUUGAGUGCUGGAGAGGCAAUCGGAAUUCCGUGUGUAGCGGUGAAAUGCGUAGAUAUACGGAGGAACACCAGUGGCGAAGGCGGCUUGCUGGACAGUAACUGACGCUGAGGCGCGAAAGCGUGGGGAGCAAACAGGAUUAGAUACCCCUGUAGUC